rnacentral:rRNA from 1 species
ACGAACGCUGGCGGCGUGCUUCACACAUGCAAGUCGAACGGAAAGGCCCCUUUGGGGGUACUCGAGUGGCGAACGGGUGAGUAACACGUGAGUAACCUGCCCUUGACUUCGGGAUAACUUCAGGAAACUGGGGCUAAUACCGGAUAGGAAUCCUUGCUGCAUGGUGGGGGUUGGAAAGCUUCGGCGGUUUUGGAUGGACUCGCGGCUUAUCAGCUUGUUGGUGGGGUAGUGGCUUACCAAGGCUUUGACGGGUAGCCGGCCUGAGAGGGCGACCGGCCACAUUGGGACUGAGAGACGGCCCAGACUCCUACGGGAGGCAGCAGUGGGGAAUAUUGCACAAUGGGCGGAAGCCUGAUGCAGCAACGCCGCGUGCGGGAGGACGGCCUUCGGGUUGUAAACCGCUUUCAGCAGGGGCGAAGCUUGUGGUGACGGUACCUGCAGAAGAAGCACCGGCUAACUACGUG